rnacentral:tmRNA from 1 species
GGGGGCGAUCGGCUUCGACGUGGGUCGCGAACCCUCAGGUGCAUGCCGAGGCGCAGAUAACCUCGUAAAACCAGCUGCAAACAACUUAGUUGCCAACGACGACAACUACGCUCUAGCUGCUUAAAAACCAGCCUAGUGCCUUCCGCCCGGCUCGUGCUUGUGCGACCGGACCCGGGAGUCAUCCACACAAGCUCGCCGGACGGCUCGUCUGAGGCCCGAACGCUAAAAAGUAAUCAGACUGGCUCUGAGUUUUCCCUGCCCGCCGGGUAGCUCAAAGUAAGAUUAAAGGCGGUAUAAGCAUGUAGACCCUGGGGCGGAGCACUUGCGGACGCGGGUUCGAUUCCCGCCGCCUCCACCA